UGCGCUUGUGUUUCUGGGAACCUCACA
rnacentral:piRNA from 1 species